AGAGUUUGAUCAUGGCUCAGAACGAACGCUGGCGGCAGGCUUAACACAUGCAAGUCGAACGCAUCCUUCGGGGUGAGUGGCAGACGGGUGAGUAACGCGUGGGAACAUGCCCUUCAGUUCGGAAUAACCCAGGGAAACUUGGGCUAAUACCGGAUACGUGCGAGAGCAGAAAGAUUGAUCGCUGAAGGAGUGGCCCGCGUCUGAUUAGCUAGUUGGUGAGGUAAAGGCUCACCAAGGCGACGAUCAGUAGCUGGUCUGAGAGGAUGAUCAGCCACACUGGGACUGAGACACGGCCCAGACUCCUACGGGAGGCAGCAGUGGGGAAUAUUGGACAAUGGGCGCAAGCCUGAUCCAGCCAUGCCGCGUGAGUGAUGAAGGCCUUAGGGUUGUAAAGCUCUUUUCGGCGGGGACGAUAAUGACGGUACCCGCAGAAGAAGCCCCGGCUAACUUCGUGCCAGCAGCCGCGGUAAUACGAAGGGGGCUAGCGUUGUUCGGAAUCACUGGGCGUAAAGGGCGCGUAGGCGGCCGAUCAAGUCGGGGGUGAAAGCCUGUGGCUUAACCACAGAAUGGCCUUCGAUACUGUUUGGCUUGAGACCGGAAGAGGUUAGUGGAACUGCGAGUGUAGAGGUGAAAUUCGUAGAUAUUCGCAAGAACACCAGUGGCGAAGGCGGCUGACUGGUCCGGUUCUGACGCUGAGGNNCGAAAGCGUGNNNACAAACAGGAUUAGAUACCCUAGUAGUCC
rnacentral:rRNA from 1 species